GUGCAUAUACUGGCAAGUCGAGCGGACAGAUGAGGAGCUUGCUCCCUGAUGUUAGCGGCGGACGGGUGAGUAACACGUGGGUAACCUGCCUGUAAGACUGGGAUAACUCCGGGAAACCGGGGCUAAUACCGGAUGGUUGUUUGAACCGCAUGGUUCAAACAUAAAAGGUGGCUUCGGCUACCACUUACAGAUGGACCCGCGGCGCAUUAGCUAGUUGGUGAGGUAAUGGCUCACCAAGGCAACGAUGCGUAGCCGACCUGAGAGGGUGAUCGGCCACACUGGGACUGAGACACGGCCCAGACUCCUACGGGAGGCAGCAGUAGGGAAUCUUCCGCAAUGGACGAAAGUCUGACGGAGCAACGCCGCGUGAGUGAUGAAGGUUUUCGGAUCGUAAAGCUCUGUUGUUAGGGAAGAACAAGUACCGUUCGAAUAGGGCGGUACCUUGACGGUACCUAACCAGAAAGCCACGGCUAACUACGUGCCAGCAGCCGCGGUAAUACGUAGGUGGCAAGCGUUGUCCGGAAUUAUUGGGCGUAAAGGGCUCGCAGGCGGUUUCUUAAGUCUGAUGUGAAAGCCCCCGGCUCAACCGCGGAGGGUCAUUGGAAACUGGGGAACUUGAGUGCAUAAGAGGAGAGUGGAAUUCCACGUGUAGCGGUGAAAUGCGUAGAGAUGUGGAAGAACACCAGUGGCGAAGGCGACUCUCUGGCCUGUAACUGACACUGAGGAGCGAAAGCGUGGGGAGCGCACACGACAACAUAGGCUGUGAUCCCACGCCCUAAACGAUGAAGCGCUAAAUGUGGGAAGGCUCCCCCCCCUUGUGGGGCGGG
rnacentral:rRNA from 1 species